rnacentral:rRNA from 1 species
CGGUGAACAAAGGGAUGCGAAGUGGCGACAUGGAGCGAAUCCCAAAACAACGCCCCAGUUCGGAUUGUAGUCUGCAACCCGACUACAUGAAGCCGGAAUCGCUAGUAAUCGCGGAUCAGAAUGCCGCGGUGAAUACGUUCCCGGGUCUUGUACACACCGCCCGUCACACCAUGGGAGUCGGGAAUGCCCGAAGUCAGUGACCCAACCCAAGGGAGGGAGCUGCCGAAGGCAGGCCUGGUCGACUGGGUGAAGUCGUAACAAGGUAUC